UACGUAGGUGGCAAGCGUUGUCCGGAAUUAUUGGGCGUAAAGCGCGCGCAGGCGGUCCUUUAAGUCUGAUGUGAAAGCCCCCGGCUCAACCGGGGAGGGUCAUUGGAAACUGGGAGACUUGAGUGCAGAAGAGAAGAGUGGAAUUCCACGUGUAGCGGUGAAAUGCGUAGAGAUGUGGAGGAACACCAGUGGCGAAGGCGACUCUUUGGUCUGUAACUGACGCUGAGGCGCGAAAGCGUGGGGAGCAAACAGG
rnacentral:rRNA from 1 species